rnacentral:lncRNA from 1 species
UGCUGCUUUGUCCCUCACAGGGAGACCCAGGCAUCGAAGGCCCCAUUGGAUUCCCAGGACCCAAGGGCGUUCCUGGCUUCAAAGGAGAGAAGGGUGAAUUUGGAGCCGACGGUCGCAAGGUAGGCUGGUUGGGUGAGCAGAGCCCCUCCUUUCUGCUGCUUAGGGCAGAAGGACUGGGGCUAAUGGAGUCCCCUCUUCCUUCUUUCUCCAGGGGGCCCCUGGCCUGGCUGGCAAGAACGGGACCGAUGGACAGAAGGUAGAGGCAGCCUCGGGCUCACAGCUGGACUGGUCUCACGGAGGCAUCUGAGCCUCUGCAGAGC